GGAUGUGAGAGUGAUCUGGCCAUGACAUCUGUCAUCCCAUUGAUUUCCAGGGACAGGCGGGUGUCCCCUUCCUCCAACUAUGUGCUUCCCUCCCAAAGCUGCACUCUUGGUCCAAGAGAAAGUGUUGUUGUGGUGGUCUGGUGUCAGGCUGCACCGCGGAGAAGAGAGCGGACGUCCAGAGCAAAGGGGUACACAAAU
rnacentral:snRNA from 1 species